rnacentral:lncRNA from 1 species
AAAAUAACGGCGGAAAAUGUCGAAAGGAGGAGGGAGGAGGCUAGGCUAUGGUGUUUCGUCGGCUAAAUGAAAAAUACAUUAAAAAACAGACGAUAUUAGUAAACCAUACUUAAAUUUCCUGUUCAUCAUGUAUCACCAAAAUUCAUAUAAAAUAACUGAAAUAUGAAUUCAACAUGUGUAAAGGAAAAGGUCUUUAAUUAGUUAUACAAUGCAAAUUAAUGGAUUUCGUCCUCUAAAUUAAAACUAAGGCUCGUAAUCGGAAUCAUCCGAUGAGUCUUCUUCGGUGUCAGAAUUAAUUUCUGGUAAUAUAUGUCUUUCCUCAUCGCCAGAGUCUUCGUCUGUUUCGUGAUUUGGAUCAACAUCAAUAAGCCUUGGCUCUUCAUCACGAAUUCGCACCGAACGACCCGCUUUAAAAUUAUUAAGGCGAACGGUAGAGGAGUUAGGAAUAUCUAUUGCGUUGGGCUCUUGAUACGCAACAUCCUCUUCCUCGUCUUCGGCCUCUCCAAGUGUAGCCGCCCGGUAAAUGUUUCGAGGGUGCACAAGGUUGACUACUUUCCACGCGUCACCCUGAUAGGAGCAUAAAAUACGACAUUCUUAAUGUGUUAUUACCUCCAUUUGUACUUUGAUUAUCUCUUAUUGUCGUAGAAUAGAGUCAUAAUGUAGAGUCGAAAGUUUUUGGUAGAGUUAUGCGUAAAAUGUGUUAAACAUAGAUGAAUGAUGUAGAAAAUUGUCAAAAGCCGAUUUGUGGAGCCUUAGAGAUGUUCUUAUGAUUCUGUAAAGCUUUUACAUUGUCACAAAUUGAUUUAACUUCUCUGAUACUUAGGUGAUAUGUAAAAGAGUUAUGGCAAAAAGAAUCAGGAGAAUUGAAGUUAUGCUUGAAUCAUUGCCGAGAGAAGUGUUCCUGAUGGACCUAGGGAAGCAAAGCAGCUGAUCCACGAAGCCUAGUCCAUGAAGGAGAGGUCCAAACCAAGUCCAAUAUGGAGAAGAAGAUCUAAAUUCGGCAGAAUAUCAGGGAAUAUCCAAGUCUU